rnacentral:lncRNA from 1 species
AGCGCCAAUAAUUUUAUUGAAACAUCAAUAUUACCAAUAACAAAUCUUACAAAGUAAUUCAUAUCUAUUUUGCUUGGAUCCUAAAGAAUUAUUACCGUAUUUAUAUCGAAUCAUGUAAAGAUACAUAAUUUUUUAAUAAUACAUGCUAAUUUCUAGUUCAAAUACAGCAACAACAGGCCCUCUCCUUGCAGCAAAAGCAGCAACACAUCGCGAACAUACUGCAUUUUCAAGAUUUAUAAAAUUUCACCUAAAAUAAAAAUUUAAACAUACAAAAAAUAUAAAUAUAAAUAUAAAUAUACUUAUCUAGUCAACCAUACUUCUUAUUUCGAAUUAUUUAAGAAAAAUUCAAUAUUUAAAAGAUUCACCGCGGUUAUAUUAUACUUACUCUAGCACGCUAGCUGUCAGUCUACUGCAACCUUCCUCUUUUAUCCGGUUUAAUACCGGUUAUGCAACCGGUUUAAUACCAGUUAUGCAAUAAGAAUUUGGAUAUACACGUAUUAUUUGCAAAUAGUAUUGUGUUUUAUAAUUUUAUUUUAAUUUCAACUUGAAAUAAAAAAUUCGAAAUUGAAAAAACUGGUUCAUAGAAUAUUUCAAGUAAAAUAAUUGACGGCUCUCGGUCUCUCACUCACAAAACAUCAAAUUCAUUUAUGAAAAAAGUAAAAUUUAAUUUCAAAUAAUAAUUUCGACUUCUAAGUUACAAAAAAUCCUAUUCGACUUCAACUUUAACUUCAAAUACUAUUUUCUGAAGAAAAAAAAUUGGGAUCCCAAUUAUCAUAUAGCUCUAAUAUUUUUUUCCUAAGAAAGUAAAUUGAAAAAUAACUUUUAAAAAUUUUAAAAAAUAUAUAUAAUGAGAAUUAUUAUAAUACAAACCAAGCAUAGAGGCAUCCUUUUUCUUCAUGGCACCUUUGGACAUCAUCAUAAUAUGACAUAUUUUGAUAUUUUGGAGGAGCUUCCAUUUUCUUUCUUUUUCUUUUUUUACGUUUUUGUUUUCCUCUAUUAUUUUCUUUGUAUGAAAAUAUAUUGAAGAUUACUUAAUAAAAAGAAU